GGCCUGGUAGUGUAGGUGGCAAGCACACCCCACAUGCAUUGUCGUUGUCGUCACUUCUUUAUAUGAUGUCUUAGGGAGCGCCCUGUUCGAACCAGGGCCAGGCUG